rnacentral:rRNA from 1 species
GGACCCGCACAAGCGGUGGAGCAUGUGGUUUAAUUCGAUGCAACGCGAAGAACCUUACCUGGUCUUGACAUCUACAGAACUUUCCAGAGAUGGAUUGGUGCCUUCGGGAACUGUAAGACAGGUGCUGCAUGGCUGUCGUCAGCUCGUGUCGUGAGAUGUUCGGUUAAGUCCGGCAACGAGCGCAACCCUUGUCCUUAUUUGCCAGCACGUAAUGGUGGGAACUCUAAGGAGACUGCCGGUGAUAAACCGGAGGAAGGUAGGGACGACGUCAAGUCAUCAUGGCCCUUAUGACCAGGGCUACACACGUGCUACAAUGGUCGGUACAAUGGGUUGCCAAGCCGCGAGGUGGAGCUAAUCUCAUAAAACCGAUCCCAGUCCGGAUCGUAGUCUGCAACUCGACUACGUGAAGUCGGAAUCGCUAGUAAUCGUGGAUCAGAAUGCCACGGUGAAUACGUUCCCGGGUCUU